UACAGAGGUCUCAAGCGUUGUUCGGAUCCAUUGGGCGUAAAGGGUGCGUAGGUGGCGGGGUAAGUCAGGUGUGAAAUCUCGGAGCUCAACUCCGAAACUGCACUUGAUACUGCCUUGCUCGAGUACUGGAGAGGAGAUUGGAAUUUACGGUGUAGCAGUGAAAUGCGUAGAUAUCGUAAGGAAGACCAGUGGCGAAGGCGAAUCUCUGGACAGUUACUGACACUGAGGCACGAAGGCCAGGGGAGCAAACGGG
rnacentral:rRNA from 1 species